UACGUAGGGAGCAAGCGUUGUCCGGAAUCAUUGGGCGUAAAGCGCGCGUAGGCGGCUCGAUCAGUCUGUUGUGAAAGUCAAAGGCUCAACCUUUGAAUGCCGAUGGAUACUGUCGAGCUAGAGUCCGGAAGAGGCGAGUGGAAUUCCUGGUGUAGCGGUGGAAUGCGCAGAUAUCAGGAAGAACACCAAUGGCGAAGGCAGCUCUCUGGGACGGUACUGACGCUGAGACGCGAAAGCGUGGGGAGCGAACAGG
rnacentral:rRNA from 1 species